rnacentral:rRNA from 1 species
AGCGGCGGACGGGUGAGUAACACGUGGGUAACCUGCCCAAGAGACUGGGAUAACACCUGGAAACAGAUGCUAAUACCGGAUAACAACACUAGACGCAUGUCUAGAGUUUGAAAGAUGGUUCUGCUAUCACUCUUGGAUGGACCUGCGGUGCAUUAGCUAGUUGGUAAGGUAACGGCUUACCAAGGCAAUGAUGCAUAGCCGAGUUGAGAGACUGAUCGGCCACAUUGGGACUGAGACACGGCCCAAACUCCUACGGGAGGCAGCAGUAGGGAAUCUUCCACAAUGGACGAAAGUCUGAUGGAGCAACGCCGCGUGAGUGAAGAAGGGUUUCGGCUCGUAAAGCUCUGUUGGUAGUGAAGAAAGAUAGAGGUAGUAACUGGCCUUUAUUUGACGGUAAUUACUUAGAAAGUCACGGCUAACUACGUGCCAGCAGCCGCGGUAAUACGUAGGUGGCAAGCGUUGUCCGGAUUUAUUGUGCGUAAAGCGAGUGCAGGCGGUUCAAUAAGUCUGAUGUGAAAGCCUUCGGCUCAACCGGAGAAUUGCAUCAGAAACUGUUGAACUUGAGUGCAGAAGAGGAGAGUGGAACUCCAUGUGUAGCGGUGGAAUGCGUAGAUAUAUGGAAGAACACCAGUGGCGAAGGCGGCUCUCUGGUCUGCAACUGACGCUGAGGCUCGAAAGCAUGGGUAGCGAACAGGAUUAGAUACCCUGGUAGUCCAUGCCGUAACGAUGAGUGCUAAGUGU